rnacentral:rRNA from 1 species
UACGUGAGGGACCAAGCGUUGUUUCGGAUUUACUGGGCGUAAAGGGGCGCGAGUAGGCGGCGGUUGACAAGUCAGUUGUAGAAAUCUCCGAGCUUAACUCGGAACGGUCAACUGAUACUGUUGUGCUAGAGUGCAGGAAGGGGCAAUCGGAAUUCUUGGUGGUAAGCGGUGAAAUGCGUAGAUAUCAAGAGGAACACCUGGAGGUGAAGACGGGUUGCUGGGCUGACACUGACGCUGGAGGCGACGAAAGCUAGGGUAGCAAACGGG